rfam:Diaporthe ampelina DA_912_scaffold_v01_29, whole genome shotgun sequence.
UAUCUUGUGGACUAAAGGGUAAGUCGAGAAUUUUUGGUGUUCUAUAAUGCGUGUUCGAAUCACGCCAAGAUAA